GGAUGUUGCCGUGUUACAACGGCUCGUCUUAAAUGCUUGAGUGUACCCUGCUUUGCAGCGUAUUCAGUGUGAUAACAUCUUCACUGGAGUCAGUCGAAAGACAUGUAAUGCUUUGAAGGCUCUAUGCUACAAACCGUCCUCCUUUGGACAAUCUCUGACAAUUUGACCUCAAAUCGGGUGGGACUACCCGCUGAACUUAA
rnacentral:misc_RNA from 1 species